rnacentral:rRNA from 1 species
AGUGAAUAGAUACCCUGGUAGUCCACGCCCUAGACGAUGUCAACUAGGUGUUGGGUGGGUAAAACCAUUUAGUACCGUAGCUAAACGCGUGAAGUUGACCGCCUGGGGAGUACGGCCGCAAGGUUAAAACUCAAAGGAAUUGACGGGGACCCGCACAAGCGGUGGAUGAUGUGGAUUAAUUCGAUGCAACGCGAAAAACCUUACCUACCCUUGACAUGCCAGGAACUUGCCAGAGAUGGCUUGGUGCCCGAAAGGGAGCCUGGACACAGGUGCUGCAUGGCUGUCGUCAGCUCGUGUCGUGAGAUGUUGGGUUAAGUCCCGCAACGAGCGCAACCCUUGUCGUUAAUUGCCAUCAUUUGGUUGGGCACUUUAACGAGACUGCCGGUGACAAACCGGAGGAAGGUGGGGUAUGACGUCAAGUCCUCAUGGCCCUUAUGGGUAGGGCUUCACACGUCAUACAAUGGUCGGUACAGAGGGUUGCCAAGCCGCGAGGCGGAGCCAAUCCCAGAAAGCCGAUCGUAGUCCGGAUUGCAGGCUGCAACUCG